UACGUAGGGGGCUAGCGUUGCUCGGAAUCACUGGGCGUAAAGCGCACGUAGGCGGCUUUCUAAGUCAGGGGUGAAAUCCUGGAGCUCAACUCCAGAACUGCCUUUGAUACUGGAAAGCUUGAGUUCGGGAGAGGUGAGUGGAACUGCGAGUGUAGAGGUGAAAUUCGUAGAUAUUCGCAAGAACACCAGUGGCGAAGGCGGCUCACUGGCCCGGUUCUGACGCUGAGGCGCGAAAGCGUGGGGAGCAAACAGG
rnacentral:rRNA from 1 species